rnacentral:tRNA from 1 species
UGUCCACUGUGAGUAUCGAUCUCACGCAACUUUCGUCAUCAGGUCCUUGGCCUGACACCUUAACCACUCGGUCAAAUGGAC